rnacentral:rRNA from 1 species
UACGUAGGGGGCAAGCGUUGUCCGGAUUUAUUGGGCGUAAAGAGCGUGUAGGCGGCUUGACAAGUCUGCUGUGAAAACUCGAGGCUCAACCUCGAGCUGUCGGUGGAAACUGUCUGGCUAGAGUCCGGAAGAGGAGAGUGGAAUUCCUGGUGUAGCGGUGAAAUGCGCAGAUAUCAGGAGGAACACCAAUUGCGAAGGCAGCUCGCUGGGACGUUACUGACGCUGAGACGCGAAAGCGUGGGGAGCGAACAGG